rnacentral:rRNA from 1 species
UACGUAGGGUGCAAGCGUUAUCCGGAAUUAUUGGGCGUAAAGAGCUCGUAGGCGGUUUGUCACGUCUGCUGUGAAAUCCCGAGGCUCAACCUCGGGCCUGCAGUGGGUACGGGCAGACUGGAGUGCGGUAGGGGAGAAUGGAAUUCCUGGUGUAGCGGUGGAAUGCGCAGAUAUCAGGAGGAACACCGGUGGCGAAGGCGGGUCUCUGGGCAGUAACUGACGCUGAGGAGCGAAAGCGUGGGGAGCGAACAGG